AUGCCAGGAAUGGCCAGACUCCUCUUAAGCCCUUCGUUUGGGCUGGAAAGCUUCCCCCAGCAAAGGGGACAGCUGGUGAAAAGGAAGGGGACCCCGAGAGGACAUGGACCUGUGCAGAGACAGGCAACUUCUCCUUUGCUGUCUGUCUCCUUCCAGCCACCAGGAGAUGGCCAGACCCCAGCCAUGCCUUCAUCCAGAGAUAAGGUAGAGACCCUCCUGCUACAUAGCCUGUCAUCAGCGUGGAGUAUCAGAAUGGCUGCGCCUGCUCCCCUCAAAAGCUUCGUGCCAACAGAGAGGUUCCUGUUUGGACCCAGGAGAGUGGAAGAGAGAUUGGGACUGACUGCUGAGGUUGGGAAGGCACCUGCUCCCAGAGAAGGGGGAACGCAAGGGGCGUCCCAAGACCUCAUCUGCCUGCAGCGUCACACCGAUGGCCUGGCCUUGGCUUCUGAUUAUUUGCAACUGCGAUGGAUGUUUACAGGAACCCAGCCAGAGUUUGCCUCCCUGCACUUCAUCCCGGAGCGCACCUGCUUCCCCCACUUCACCUUCAGAGAGGACACUUCAAACUGCGGACACACACAAAAGCGACUCCCAGCUCCGUUUGAUGUUACUCAUUCUUCAGCAAGUUGGCAAAACAGACAUCAUGCUGGUGAGGAGACUGAGGUGUGGGAGAGUACAGGCGGCAGAACUCUCGCGGGAGACAGUUGUAGCACCACUUGCCCUCAUGUGAUGCUAAAGAAAGAAAAGCUACGAAAUCUGAAAAGAAGACAUUUGAGAGGCCCAAGGAAAAAGGUGAGCGUGAGGAGGGAGACAUUUGCAUGCAGAGAGAGGCCUGAGAGGAAGAGUGACCAUUUGGAAGGUGCGCGGACUUACAGUCCACUGGACGUGGAAUUGCACCAUCAUGCCCUGAUUCCUCCAAGCAGCGCUUUACUACCUGACAAAUGGGGUUCAGGGGCACUUCCAGCACACUGUGCCUUUGCCUGCAGAGAGGUCCUCCAAAGAAGUCAGAAGUCCAUUCCUUUGUAGGAGUGUGACUAUAAGUAUUGCUUAGAUCUGUGACACGGGGUCAGUAAUUUAUCCACAUCUUAUGAUGACUGUGCAUUAACUACAAAAAGGUGCCCCUCUGGGUUAAAAGGCUCCACACCAGGACUCCCAGCUUGGCAAGCAGAACCCAGACUGGUUUGCAGCCCCCAUGUUCCCCCUUGUCCAGGUGCCUUUGUGCAGUGUACAGACUGGCCAACCUCACCUGGCAGCCCUGUCCAGAGUUUUUUUAAUUUGCUAAAAUAUAAGACUCACCAGGGCAGGAACAUCUUAUUCAUGACUGUGCACUCAGUACGUAUUUGUAGAAUGAAUGAAACAGGUGAGGAUUAUUUGUUCAUUUUAUGUUAUUGAGCACCUAUUAUACACAGGCGCCUUGCUGGGUGCAGAGGGCACAACAGUGUACAAAGCAAGAUGUUUCCCGCCCUCCUGGAGCUCAUGUCCUAGGACAAGAGCAGACUGCAUAAAUAAGUGAAAAAGAUAAACUAGUGAUGGGGUUGCAGAGUGGGGCAAGUCCUGAAGGAUGAGAAAUCGGCCAUAUGGAGAGCUGGGAGGAACAUUCCAGCCAGAGGCAAGAAUGAAACACAGAUAUAUGUAAUAAUGACAGCCAAGAUGUUAUUGAGCCUAAUUCUCAACCUAUUAGCUCACCACACCUUCACAUAAUCCUAUAAAAAAGGUGCUGUGGUUAUGCUCAUUUUACAAAUGAGGAGACUGAGGCACAGAGAACUAGCUUGCAUAAGUAAGUGGUAAGGAGGGCGUUGAGCCCAGGCAACAUUGUUCUAGACUCUCUGCCAUUCGCCCCUAGACUCUUAUCCCUCUUGGGUAGGAGUUUAGCACAGUGUCUGGCACACAGUUGUCACUUAUUGAGCUAAUACUUUCUGAGCACUUUGAAUUUCCCUUGCACUGUGAUAAGGGCUUUGCAUGUAUCAGCUCAUUAAAUAAACAGUAGUGGCUGGGUGCGGUGGCUCACACCUGUAAUCCCAGCACUUUGGGAGGCCAAGGCAGGCAGAUUACCUGAGGUCAGGAGUUUGAGAUCAGCCUGGCCAACAUGGUGAAAUUCCAGCUCUACUAAAAAUACAAAAAUUAGCCAGGCGUGGUGGUGCAUGCCUGUAAUCCCAGCUACUUGGAAGGCUGAGGUGGGAGAAUCUCUUGAACCCAGGAGGCAGAGGUUGCAGUGAGCCGAGAUCACGCCACCGCACUCCAGUGUGGGCAACAAGAGUGAAAACUCUGUCUCAAAAAAAUAAAAUAAAAUAAUAAUAAAC
rnacentral:lncRNA from 1 species